GACGAACGCUGGCGGCGUGCCUAAUACAUGCAAGUAGAACGCUGAAGAGAGGAGCUUGCUCUUCUUGGAUGAGUUGCGAACGGGUGAGUAACGCGUAGGUAACCUGCCUUGUAGCGGGGGAUAACUAUUGGAAACGAUAGCUAAUACCGCAUAACAAUGGAUGACACAUGUCAUUUAUUUGAAAGGGGCAAUUGCUCCACUACAAGAUGGACCUGCGUUGUAUUAGCUAGUAGGUGAGGUAACGGCUCACCUAGGCGACGAUACAUAGCCGACCUGAGAGGGUGAUCGGCCACACUGGGACUGAGACACGGCCCAGACUCCUACGGGAGGCAGCAGUAGGGAAUCUUCGGCAAUGGGGGCAACCCUGACCGAGCAACGCCGCGUGAGUGAAGAAGGUUUUCGGAUCGUAAAGCUCUGUUGUAAGUCAAGAACGAGUGUGAGAGUGGAAAGUUCACACUGUGACGGUAGCUUACCAGAAAGGGACGGCUAACUACGUGCCAGCAGCCGCGGUAAUACGUAGGUCCCGAGCGUUGUCCGGAUUUAUUGGGCGUAUAGCGAGCGCAGGCGGUUUGAUAAGUCUGAAGUUAAAGGCUGUGGCUCAACCAUAGUUCGCUUUGGAAACUGUCAAACUUGAGUGCAGAAGGGGAGAGUGGAAUUCCAUGUGUAGCGGUGAAAUGCGUAGAUAUAUGGAGGAACACCGGUGGCGAAAGCGGCUCUCUGGUCUGUAACUGACGCUGAGGCUCGAAAGCGUGGGGAGCGAACAGGAUUAGAUACCCUGGUAGUCCACGCCGUAAACGAUGAGUGCUAGGUGUUGGAUCCUUUCCGGGAUUCAGUGCCGCAGCUAACGCAUUAAGCACUCCGCCUGGGGAGUACGACCGCAAGGUUGAAACUCAAAGGAAUUGACGGGGGCCCGCACAAGCGGUGGAGCAUGUGGUUUAAUUCGAAGCAACGCGAAGAACCUUACCAGGUCUUGACAUCCCGAUGCUAUUUCUAGAGAUAGAAAGUUACUUCGGUACAUCGGUGACAGGUGGUGCAUGGUUGUCGUCAGCUCGUGUCGUGAGAUGUUGGGUUAAGUCCCGCAACGAGCGCAACCCCUAUUGUUAGUUGCCAUCAUUCAGUUGGGCACUCUAGCGAGACUGCCGGUAAUAAACCGGAGGAAGGUGGGGAUGACGUCAAAUCAUCAUGCCCCUUAUGACCUGGGCUACACACGUGCUACAAUGGUUGGUACAACGAGUUGCGAGUCGGUGACGGCAAGCUAAUCUCUUAAAGCCAAUCUCAGUUCGGAUUGUAGGCUGCAACUCGCCUACAUGAAGUCGGAAUCGCUAGUAAUCGCGGAUCAGCACGCCGCGGUGAAUACGUUCCCGGGCCU
rnacentral:rRNA from 1 species